rnacentral:rRNA from 1 species
UACGUAGGGAGCAAGCGUUGUCCGGAAUCAUUGGGCGUAAAGCGCGCGUAGGUGGCCCUGUAAGUCCGUUGUGAAAGUCAAAGGCUCAACCUUUGAAAGCCGAUGGAUACUGCAGGACUAGAGUACGGAAGAGGCGAGUGGAAUUCCUGGUGUAGCGGUGGAAUGCGCAGAUAUCAGGAGGAACACCAAUAGCGAAGGCAGCUCGCUGGGACGUUACUGACACUGGAGGCGCGAAAGCGUGGGGAGCGAACAGG